rnacentral:rRNA from 1 species
UACGAGUGGUGCAAGCGUUAUUCGGAAUUAUUGGGCGUAAAGGGUGCGCAGGCGGUAUGUUAAGUCAACUGUUAAAUCCCCCAGCCUAACUGGGGAUCGGCGGUAGAUACUGGUGUACUAGAGGGUGGAAGAGAGAAGUGGAAUUCUUGGAGUAGCGGUAAAAUGCGUAGAUCUCAAGAGGAACACCGAUGGCGAAGGCAGCUUCUUGGUCCACACCUGACGCUCAUGCACGAAAGCGUGGGGAGCAAACAGG